rnacentral:rRNA from 1 species
AUGGGAUUUGAGGUGGAUUUCCUAGGAGAGCGAGUAGGAAGGGUGAUGGUGGGGUUCAUGGGGAAGAUGAAGAAGCAGAAGGUGAUCCACGGCCCGCACGCGACGCCGAGCCACCACAGGCCUCCUCCCCUGUCGCUCGCCGCCAUGCCGGGACGGCGUACUGGGCCUUGCCGGAAGCCGAGGACAAGCGAGACAAUGGCCAUCCACCCUGGGCCAAGGACAAGCACAGAGCGACCAGCGGCGAUAACUAUGCUCGGGCAGAUGGAUCCCGCCGCGGCGGAGUUCGAGGAGAACAGUAGCUGUGAUGACUCAACAAGAUGGAAGUGCGGACAAGGGAUGAGUGCAAUCGGCUCAGGUAAACUCCUCCUGUACACCGUCUGGCAUCAGUUCCAGUUGCGCCCGAAGCUUUCAAGCUCGCUGCUCCACUUAGUUUGCCGAAACACUGUCGGCAUGUGCUCCAUCCAAGGUACGCCAUCGUCCAAUUCUAUCAUCAGUUUUGAACUUUAA